UGUAUCUAUGUGUGUGUGUGUGUGUGUGUGUGUGUGUGUGUGUGUGUGUGUGUCUCCCUAUCAGUUAGACAAGUCAUUAUUCUUGGCUGACAGCGCUCAGCUCCCGCUCCUCUGCCAGGUAAUGAAUUCUCCUCCAGAUAAAGAAAAUAAAAAUCAUCUUUAAUUUCUCCGCCUCGCUGUUGUGUAAACUCUGAUUCUUUCCGCCCGGGUGCGUUGGAUUCGCCGCCCCGCCGCUCCCUGCCUGCCUGCCUGCCUGCCUGUCGCCUUCCUCAGACGGCCUACAAGUGGAGAGAGAUGAUGAUGGUGAAGCAGACGCUCCGCUGCGGAUGAAAGAACUGCCGUGAAAUAUGAUGGAUAAAUGGUUGCGGCAGUUAAACUAUAGCUCGGCUCUACGGGUGCAGACAGGGGACAAAAAGGACGUUCACCAGCAGCCGUCUCACACCGGUUCAGUCAGGUAGCCGCGGCAACGAGAGCAGAACUGAUCGAUGUCCUCAGACUCUUCGUUAAUGCUUUAACUCGCCGUUUGUAAUUACAUGAAAGGUUUAUCUGCCGCAAAGGCUGCAAGAUCCUUUUGUGAAUUCUCCCCUUGAGACGCCAAGUUUGCAAUAAAAGAUUAACAGCUAAAAAAAAACAGUGAGGUCUGCAGGAUCCUAAACAACGAGGAAGUGAAGUCAGUUUCAACUAAAACAGGUCUCACAGGGCUGAUAUUACCUGAGACGUCCAGUGAUUUGCAGUAAUUGCAGAGGCCUCGCUUCUUUUUCCAUGAUUUUAAUUCAAACUUGUUUGCACAAAUUACGUCGGCGCAGACAGGUCGCCUGAUAACACUAAUCCUGCACAAAUCGAACUCCUGGUAAGUUUGAGCUGUAAUUUUGUUUUGACGUGUGAUUUCUUCUCCUCCUCCUUCUUCUUCUUCUUCUUCUUCUUCUUCUUCUUCUACAAGAUGAGAUUUCUGUCAGGAAACAUAGAAACCUCGGGAAGAGACUUUUGGAAGCUUUUUGCUGAUUUGGACAAAGAUUCAUAGUAAAAUCUUGAC